rnacentral:tRNA from 1 species
GGGGCCAUAGCUCAGUUGGGAGAGCGCCUGCUUUGCAAGCAGGAAGUCGCCGGUUCGAGCCCGGCUGGCUCCA